UCUCCGUAUGUGAACCUGCGGAGGGAUCAUUACUGAUUGAGGGCUUCGGUCCGACCUCCAACCCUUUGUGAACCAAACUUGUUGCUUCGGGGGCGACCCUGCCGCUUCGGCGGUGCGGCGCCCCCGGAGGCCAUUAAACACUGCAUCAUUGCGUCGGAGUUAAAGUAAAUUAAACAAAACUUUCAACAACGGAUCUCUUGAUUCCAGCAUCGAUGAAGAACGCAGC
rnacentral:misc_RNA from 1 species